GCGACAAACGAAGAGACUCUAUCGAUCGUUUUUCUAAAAUAUGUGGGAGACCAAAUACAAAUUCCCUUAUUUUCUCUUUCCCUCAUCCUCUCUCUUUUCCUCUCUUCGUUGUCUCUAAAGAUCUAAAACUACCCCCCCCCCCCCCCCCACAAACCCGCCAAUGCUUAAAGGUUAGUGCUUCAUCAAUUCUAGUUAUAUUUGAUUAUUCCUUGUCUCUAAAGAUCUAAACUACACCUCCCCCUCACCCGCCAAUGCUUUAAGUCUGGAUGCAGGAAUGGUGAAGUUUCCUCAGGUGAAGACGAAGAAAUCCUCCAGCAGCUUUGACUUUUCUAUCCGUAUGGUGAAGUUGUAUCCUUUAUUUAACUGACCCUAUUAUUCCCUAAGUGGCUCUUGUAUUGGUAAACUAUUUUUUUUUAAUUUAGUAAAGUUGUAUUUUGAAUGAGUUAAUUCUUAAACUUCCUUAGCUUGA